rnacentral:rRNA from 1 species
GACGGAGGAGGCUAGCGUUGUUCGGAAUUACUGGGCGUAAAGCGCGCGCAGGCGGUCUUGCAAGUCAGGGGUGAAAGCCCGGGGCUCAACCUCGGAACUGCCUUUGAGACUGUGAGACUCGAGACCGAGAGAGGAGAGUGAAUUCCCAGUGUAGAGGUGAAAUUCGUAGAUAUUGGCAAGAACACCAGUGGCGAAGGCGGCUCACUG